CCCCAGUGGUCAGCACGCGGUUUGUUCUCGGCACUUUCCUGGGGAGAGUGUUUGCACUUCAUUGUGUGGCACAUGAUCCAGAACUUUUACUUUGAGGAAAUGAGAGUGUUUCAAGCAGGCGCYUGUCGUGMAUACGUUAGCAUGGAAUAAUAGCAUGGGACCGCGGUCUGAAGCUGUUGGUUUUUGGACCGUGGUAAUGAAAAUAGGGAUAGUUGGGGGUAUUCGUAUUUAACUGUCAGAGGUGAAAUUCUUGGAUUUUUUAAAGACGGACUACUGCGAAAGCAUCUGCCCAGGAUGUUUUUAUUGAUCAAGAACGAAAGUUAGGGGAUCGAAGACGAUCAGAUACCGUCCUAGUCUUAACCUUAAACCAUGCCGACUAGAGAUUUGGGUCGUCAGAAUCUUUGACGCCCUGAGCACCUUAGGGGAAACCAAAGUCUUCGGGUUCCGGGGGGAGUAUGGUCGCAAGGCUGAAACUUAAAGGAAUUGACGGAAGGGCACCACCAGGAGUGGAGCCUGCGGCUUAAUUUGACUCAACACGGGGAAACUUACCAGGUCCGGACAUAGAGAGGAUUGACAGACUGAUAGCUCUUUCUUGAUUCUAUGGGUGGUGUGCAUGGCCGUUCUUAGUUGGUGGAGUGAUUUGUCUGGUU
rnacentral:rRNA from 1 species